UAGCUUUCAGAGGCAAGAAGAAUUUCCCUCCUCCUCCAAAGGUUCCAGUCUGCAUCUGUUGAAAUAAGUUGACAAUAGACAGAUGAACAGGAAAAAGCCCAUUACCAAAAACAGUGACACAGUCACCAAGUGUAAAGGGCAUGCUGGAGGGGAUGAAGAUGUGGCCUGGAGUAGUAACGGAACAAUUCCUGUUGGAGACGAGUAUUCAGACAUCACUACUGUACCAUUGAUGGGUACUAACUCCCGAAAAUUUAACAGCUACUUGUGAAAGUCAAGCAUUUUGACAAAAAGUAAUCUUUAAAAGUGCAUGUGCAAAUUUAUCACCUACAAGGAUAUACUCAAAGUGUACU
rnacentral:lncRNA from 10 species